rnacentral:rRNA from 2 species
UGAUGAGGUGCUUGCACCUGAUUGAUUUUGGUCGCCAACGAGUGGCGGACGGGUGAGUUCCACGUAGGUAACCUGCCCAGAAGCGGGGGACAACAUUUGGAAACAGAUGCUAAUACCGCAUAACAACGUUGUUCGCAUGAACAACGCUUAAAAGAUGGCUUCUCGCUAUCACUUCUGGAUGGACCUGCGGUGCAUUAGCUUGUUGGUGGGGUAAUGGCCUACCAAGGCGAUGAUGCAUAGCCGAGUUGAGAGACUGAUCGGCCACAAUGGGACUGAGACACGGCCCAUACUCCUACGGGAGGCAGCAGUAGGGAAUCUUCCACAAUGGGCGCAAGCCUGAUGGAGCAACACCGCGUGAGUGAAGAAGGGUUUCGGCUCGUAAAGCUCUGUUGUUAAAGAAGAACACGUAUGAGAGUAACUGUUCAUACGUUGACGGUAUUUAACCAGAAAGUCACGGCUAACUACGUGCCAGCAGCCGCGGUAAUACGUAGGUGGCAAGCGUUAUCCGGAUUUAUUGGGCGUAAAGAGAGUGCAGGCGGUUUUCUAAGUCUGAUGUGAAAGCCUUCGGCUUAACCGGAGAAGUGCAUCGGAAACUGGAUAACUUGAGUGCAGAAGAGGGUAGUGGAACUCCAUGUGUAGCGGUGGAAUGCGUAGAUAUAUGGAAGAACACCAGUGGCGAAGGCGGCUACCUGGUCUGCAACUGACGCUGAGACUCGAAAGCAUGGGUAGCGAACAGGAUUAGAUACCCUGGUAGUCCAUGCCGUAAACGAUGAGUGCUAGGUGUUGGAGGGUUUCCGCCCUUCAGUGCCGGAGCUAACGCAUUAAGCACUCCGCCUGGGGAGUACGACCGCAAGGUUGAAACUCAAAGGAAUUGACGGGGGCCCGCACAAGCGGUGGAGCAUGUGGUUUAAUUCGAAGCUACGCGAAGAACCUUACCAGGUCUUGACAUCUUGCGCCAACCCUAGAGAUAGGGCGUUUCCUUCGGGAACGCAAUGACAGGUGGUGCAUGGUCGUCGUCAGCUCGUGUCGUGAGAUGUUGGG